GAUGAACGCUGGCGGCGUGCUUAGCACAUGCAAGUCGAACGAUGAAGCCCAGCUUGCUGGGUGGAUUAGUGGCGAACGGGUGAGUAACACGUGAGUAACCUGCCCUUGACUCUGGGAUAAGCCUGGGAAACUGGGUCUAAUACUGGAUAUGACUUCUCAUCGCAUGGUGGGGGGUGGAAAGAUUUAUUGGUCUUGGAUGGACUCGCGGCCUAUCAGCUUGUUGGUGAGGUAAUGGCUCACCAAGGCGACGACGGGUAGCCGGCCUGAGAGGGUGACCGGCCACACUGGGACUGAGACACGGCCCAGACUCCUACGGGAGGCAGCAGUGGGGAAUAUUGCACAAUGGGCGCAAGCCUGAUGCAGCGACGCCGCGUGAGGGAUGACGGCCUUCGGGUUGUAAACCUCUUUCAGUAGGGAAGAAGCGAGAGUGACGGUACCUGCAGAAGAAGCGCCGGCUAACUACGUG
rnacentral:rRNA from 1 species